rnacentral:rRNA from 1 species
GACGAACGCUGGCGGCGUGCUUAACACAUGCAAGUCGAACGGAAAGGCCCUGCUUUUGUGGUGUGCUCGAGUGGCGAACGGGUGAGUAACACGUGAGUAACCUGCCCUUGACUUUGGGAUAACUUCAGGAAACUGGGGCUAAUACCGGAUAGGAGCUCCUGCUGCAUGGUGUGGGUUGGAAAGUUUCGGCGGUUGGGGAUGGACUCGCGGCUUAUCAGCUUGUUGGUGGGGUAGUGGCUUACCAAGGCUUUGACGGGUAGCCGGCCUGAGAGGGUGACCGGCCACAUUGGGACUGAGAUACGGCCCAGAAUCCUACGGGAGGCAGCAGUGGGGAAUAUUGCACAAUGGGCGGAAGCCUGAUGCAGCAACGCCGCGUGCGGGAUGACGGCCUUCGGGUUGUAAACCGCUUUCGCCUGUGACGAAGCGUGAGUGACGGUAAUGGGUAAAGAAGCACCGGCUAACUACGUG